rnacentral:rRNA from 1 species
CCAGACUCCUACGGGAGGCAGCAGUGGGGGAUAUUGCACAAUGGGGGCAACCCUGAUGCAGCGACGCCGCGUGAGCGAUGGAGUACUUCGGUAUGUAAAGCCCUAUCAGCAGGGAAGAAGAAAUGACGGUACCUGAGUAAGAAGCACCGGCUAAAUACGUGCCAGCAGCCGCGGUAAUACGUAUGGUGCAAGCGUUAUCCGGAUUUACUGGGUGUAAAGGGAGCGCAGGCGGCACGGCAAGCCUGAUGUGAAAGCCCGCGGCCCAACCGCGGGACUGCAUUGGGAACUACCGGGCUGGAGUGCCGGAGAGGUAGGCGGAAUUCCUAGUGUAGCGGUGAAAUGCGUAGAUAUUAGGAGGAACACCAGUGGCGAAGGCGGCCUACUGGACGGUGACUGACGCUGAGGCUCGAAAGCGUGGGGAGCAAACAGGAUUAGAUACCCGGGUA